rnacentral:lncRNA from 1 species
UUUAGGGUUAAUAGCCGGAAAAUACACGAACUAUUUUGAGAUUUGCAUAUUGCACAUGACCUUCAAAAUUAGCCCCAGAAUACAUGACCUUUCAAUUUAAUCGCAAUUUGCACCCGGCGAAAGUUCCGGCCACUCUUAUGUUUGACCGGCAAUGACGUGGAAAAAAUUUUAAACUACGUGGCAUUACACUUGGCAUUUUUUACACAGUGGAAUGCCACGCGUUCAAAACGACGUCGUUUUGAUAGGGAGAAAAAAUAAAAAAAAUAAAGAAAAAUGUCUUCUUCUUCAAUCUCCUGCCCCGCCGCCAUUCAUCCCCGCCGCUGCGACUUCCUCUACCAUCCACCGAGCUUCCGAGGCCAUCGAAGCAGCCCAGCCGCUGCGACUUCCUCUCCCGACCACCGAGCAUCCGAGGCCAUCGAAGCAGCCCAGCCGCUGCGACUUCCUCUCCCGACCAUCGGAGGCCACCGCGACUUCCUCUUCCCCCACGAUCUGCCGCCCUCCACCUCAGGCCACCGCC